AAAUGAAUUGACGGGGACCCGCACAAGCAGUGGAUUAUGUGGUUUAAUUCGACGCAACGCGAAGAACCUUACCAGGUCUUGACAUCCGACUAACGAAUCAGAGAUGAAUUAGGUGCCCUUCGGGGAAAGUUGAGACAGGUGGUGCAUGGUUGUCGUCAGCUCGUGUCGUGAGAUGUUGGGUUAAGUCCCGCAACGAGCGCAACCCCUGCCAUUAGUUGCUACGCAAGAGCACUCUAAUGGGACCGCUACCGACAAGGUGGAGGAAGGUGGGGACGACGUCAAAUCAUCAUGCCCCUUAUGACCUGGGCUACACACGUAAUACAAUGGUCGUUAACAACGGGAAGCGAAGCCGCGAGGCGGAGCAAAACCCCAAAAACGGUCUCAGUUCGGAUUGCAGGCUGCAACUCGCCUGCAUGAAGUAGGAAUUGCUAGUAAUCGCAGAUCAGCAAGCUGCGGUGAAUACGUUCCCGGGUCUUGCACACACCGCCCGU
rnacentral:rRNA from 1 species